UAAGACCUUACUUUAGCUUGAAGCGCUAGAUCAAAUACUUCACGGUCUGCGUUUGAGUGAGAGAGAGGGUUCUUCUCAAAAAAAAAAAAGAGUGAGUGAGAGAGAGAGAGAGAUCAUAUGGGGAUUUGGGAUUAUAUUUCCUCUACAAGCAAUUUGGUGAUACAAAACGCACCUGAUCUAAAGACUGUUGUUGCCAAGGUUGAUGACGUCGUUAGGACGAAGGUGAUCCAGUCCAUGCAAGACGAGGAAACUCGUUCCAAGGCCGGUCGGAUUGCUACCAACUUUGCUAAAAGCGCUGCGGUUGUUGCUUGCGAGGAGGGCGUCAAAACCAUCCCAGGUGGAUCAUUGUUUUAUAAGAUUUUUUUGCAAUUUCUCCAUAACGAAAAGAAGUCUGGGGAGUAAUGACGUAGAGACAAAGGCAUUGCAAGCUAAGUAGAAGACAAUUUCAUUUCAAGGAGACAAGAUGGGUGGAGUGAUGAAAUAAUUGUUAACUAUUGGGAUGAUAAAUAUUUUUAUGUCUUAGAUUUUAUGUAAUUAUUGUGGAACCCCCCUCCUCACCCUCGUUUGGUGUUUGUUUUGAGUUGUGGCAGAAUUGGGUGUGAUGAGGAAUGAUGUAUGCUGUUAAGUAUUGGAGUGAUGAAUUUAUUAUUAAGUACUUGGAUAAUAAGGAUUUGUAUGUCUCAAAUUUUGCAA